UACGAAGGGGGGCUAGCGUUGCUCGGAAUCACUGGGCGUAAAGCGCACGUAGGCGGAUUGCUAAGUCAGGGGUGAAAUCCUGGAGCUCAACUCCAGAACUGCCUUUGAUACUGCAAAUCUCGAGUCCGGAAGAGGUGAGUGGAAUUCCUAGUGUAGAGGUGAAAUUCGUAGAUAUUAGGAAGAACACCAGUGGCGAAGGCGGCUCACUGGUCCGGUACUGACGCUGAGGUGCGAAAGCGUGGGGAGCAAACAGG
rnacentral:rRNA from 1 species